CCUACGGGAGGCAGCAGUGGGGAAUAUUGCACAAUGGGGGAAACCCUGAUGCAGCGACGCCGCGUGAGUGCAGAAGUAAUUCGUUAUGUAAAGCUCUAUCAGCAGGGAAGAAAAUGACGGUACCUGAGUAAGAAGCCCCGGCUAACUACGUGCCAGCAGCCGCGGUAAUACGUAGGGGGCAAGCGUUAUCCGGAUUUACUGGGUGUAAAGGGAGCGUAGACGGCAGUGCAAGUCUGGAGUGAAAGGCGGGGGCUCAACCCCCGGACUGCUCUGGAAACUGUACGGCUUGAGUGCAGGAGAGGUAAGUGGAAUUCCGAGUGUAGCGGUGAAAUGCGUAGAUAUUAGGAGGAACACCAGUGGCGAAGGCGGCUUACUGGACUGUAACUGACGUUGAGGCUCGAAAGCGUGGGGAGCAAACAGGAUUAGAUACCCUUGUAGUC
rnacentral:rRNA from 1 species